GAUGUGGAAUGUUGCUCUGUUGAUGAGGACAUUAUUGUUGUAGAUGUUUCAUGGGUAGUCAAUGGGAGUUGAGUUGUGCUGGUAGUAUUUGGUGUUGUUUGACUUUUGUGUUCAGGUGCUGUUUGAGUGAAAUGACUAGUUACUGGAGACAAUAUAGAUGGGGAACUGGGUGAGACCUCUGUACUUGUGGUGGGAUUGAUUGCUGUUGUGGGAUGACUAGUCUUGGUAGUUCCUGUUUCUCCUUUUGUGGUUUGGGUUGAGGCUGAGGAAUGUGAUUCAGUUGUUGCUGUGGAUGUUACUGUCGUAGGAGAUGUGGAAUGUUGCUCUGUUGAUGAGGACAUCAUUGUUGUAGAUGUUUCAUGGGUAGUCAGUGGGAGUUGAGUUGUGCUGGUAGUAUUUAGUGUUGUUUGACUUUUGUGUUCAGGUGCUGUUUGAGUGAAAUGAGUAGUUACUGGAGACAAUAUAGAUGGGGAACUGGGUGAGACCUCUGUACUUGUGGUGGGAUUGAUUGCUGUUGUGGGAUGACUAGUCUUGGUAGUUCCUGUUUCUCCUUUUGUGGUUUGGGUUGAGGCUGAGGAAUGUGAUUCACUUGUUGCUGUGGAUGUUAUUGUCGUAGGAGAUGUGGAAUGUUGCUCUGUUGAUGAGGACAUCAUUGUUGUAGAUGUUUCAUGGGUAGUCAAUGGGAGUUGAGUUGUGCUGGUAGUAUUUAGUGUUGUUUGACUUUUGUGUUCAGGUGCUGUUUGAGUGAAAUGAGUAGUUACUGGAGACAAUAUAGAUGGGGAACUGGGUGAGACCUCUGUACUUGUGGUGGGAUUGAUUGCUGUUGUGGGAUGACUAGUCUUGGUAGUUCCUGUUUCUCCUUUUGUGGUUUGGGUUGAGGCUGAGGAAUGUGAUUCAGUUGUUGCUGUGGAUGUUACUGUCGUAGAAGAUGUGGAAUGUUGCUCUGUUGAUGAGGACAUCAUUGUUGUUGAUGUUUCAUGGGUAGUCAGUGGGAGUUGAGUUGUGCUGGUAGUAUUUGGUGUUGUUUGACUUUUGUGUUCAGGUGCUGUUUGAGUGAAAUGACUAGUUACUGGAGACAAUAUAGAUGGGGAACUGGGUGAGACCUCUGUACUUGUGGUGGGAUUGAUUGCUGUUGUGGGAUGACUAGUCUUGGUAGUUCCUGUUUCUCCUUUUGUGGUUUGGGUUGAGGCUGAGGAAUGUGAUUCAGUUGUUGCUGUUGAUGUUAUUGUCGUAGGAGAUGUGGAAUGUUGCUCUGUUGAUGAGGACAUCAUUGUUGUAGAUGU